rnacentral:rRNA from 1 species
GUGCCAGCAGCCGCGGUAAUACGUAGGUUGCGAGCGUUGUCCGGAUUUACUGGGCGUAAAGCGCGCGCAGGCGGUCCUGCAAGUCCACGGUGAAAGCUCCCGGCCCAACUGGGAGAGGCCCGUGGAAACUGCAGGACUUGAAGGCGGGAGAGGCAAAUGGAAUUUCCGGUGUAGCGGUAAAAUGCGUAGAUACCGGAAGGAACACCAGUGGCGAAAGCGAUUUGCUGGCCCGCCCUUGACGCUCAGGCGCGAAAGCUAGGGGAGCGACCGGGAUUAGAUACCCCCGUAGUCC